AUUGAACGCUGGCGGCAUGCUUUACACAUGCAAGUCGAACGGUAACAGGCCGCAAGGUGCUGACGAGUGGCGAACGGGUGAGUAAUGCAUCGGAACGUGCCCAGUCGUGGGGGAUAACUAUCCGAAAGGAUAGCUAAUACCGCAUACGAUCUGCGGAUGAAAGCGGGGGACCUUCGGGCCUCGCGCGAUUGGAGCGGCCGAUGUCAGAUUAGGUAGUUGGUGGGGUAAAGGCUCACCAAGCCAACGAUCUUUAGCUGGUCUGAGAGGACGACCAGCCACCCGGGGACUGAGACACGGCCCAGACUCCUACGGGAGGCAGCAGUGGGGAAUUUUGGACAAUGGGCGCAAGCCUGAUCCAGCAAUGCCGCGUGCAGGAAGAAGGCCUUCGGGUUGUAAACUGCUUUUGUACGGAACGAAACGGCUCUGGUUAAUACCGGGGGCUAAUGACGGUACCGUAAGAAUAAGCACCGGCUAACUACGUGCCAGCAGCCGCCGUAA
rnacentral:rRNA from 1 species